UAUUUAGCAGACUUUUCCCAAGGAAACAGCUUUGCCAUCUUGCGCCACCAAAAAAUCACUCAGAACGUCAAAAUGUAAUUUCCUGGCCCUAUUCAUCUGGAAAAAAAUAUAUUCCUACUGAUGGGUGGAGACGAUGAAGUCCAUGACCCUCUCACUCAGACCUUUGGGAACCUGAUAAAGCUUCAGGAAGUCACGUACGUUGUUGAGCAUCUCAUGGUAGCGGUUUGUGUUGGUGUACAUCUGCUGGAAGAUGGUGGUGACGUUUCCAAAGAUGGUUGCAUACAGCAAAGCUAAAGCAAAAGAUGAAGAACAGAGUCAGAGUAAAACUCACCACUGGAACGCCGGACAAUAUUUUCCAGAAAAGUGUUCUGCGGAGCCACCAGUCCUCUCUUGCCUCCAUGCAUUAUGAGAGACUCGGAGCUGCUCGGUGGUCGUGCUGAUGAUAACUACCCCCCUCAACUGUCUGCCCGACCGGAGCGCAGACCACGAGAGUCAAGUUAACCAGAAUUAAGAGGUACUUCCAGGCUGAGGUUUUAAAAAUAAAAGCCUCAUUGCCAAACUUUUUUUUAGUGUAAAUACAAAUCAAAGACUGUUCGAUGUGGAAUCUGAGGUAGAUGGUUUUAAUUAUCCCCAAACUGAUGGUCUCACUUAAAGAGUAACAGGAUAAGGUUAGUCACAAUACAUGCAGCCAGCGGUGGCCACAUCUUUUACUUAAGUGAAAGUAGCAAUACUACAGUAUAAAUAUACUCUGCUAUGAGUAAAAGUACUGCAUUCAAAAUCUUAGUUAAGUAAAAGUUCACACGUAUCAGCAUCAAAAUAUACUUCAUGUAUCAAAAGUGAAUGAACCACUUAUAUAUUAUUAUAUAAUAUAUUAUUAAAUUAUAAUUACUGAUGUAUUCAGAUGAUCAUCACAUUAAUGUUGCAGCUGGUAAAGGUGGAGCUCAUUUUAAUAACUUUAUAUAAUGAUGGGUGGUGUGACUUAUAAUAUUAUACUAUGACCUAUUUGCAAGUGUAGUUCAUUUAUGAAAAAUAUAUAAUAAUAAAAAACUAAGCAACUAGUAGCUAAAGCUUUAACAAUGAAUCAAGUGAAGUGAAAAGUACAAUAUUUUCCUCUGAAAUAUAGUGGAGUAGAAGUAUUGAGUAGCAUAAAAUGUAAAUACUCAAAGUACAAAUACCUCAAGAUUUUACUUGAGUACAUGUACUUAAUUACAUUUCACCAAUGCAUGUAGCAGAUAACUUGGAUGGAUCUUCAUCUGCGAAAUGAAGACAAGUCUUUAAUAUGUAUAAAUAUUACAUAAGAGUCACAUCAUCCUUUAUGAUGUUUAUAUAUAUAUUAAAAAAUCAGUCAAUGUUGUGCUUUUAUUUUGAAGGAACAUCCUCCAGCUCUCUGAUGUUAUUCUGGUAUUAUUGUCUUUGGUUUCUCAAUCCUCUAUCUGUACACUGCUUACCUUCAACUUCUCUUAUACGUUUUUCUAUGAAUUUAAAUGUUGUUGUUGCUUUUAAUAUGAAUCAUGAUUUGGAUAUUUAUAUGUCUGUGAUGUGGACCUACUUUUCACCAUCCAUAACUAACAAUAUGUGGCAAAAAGUUCAAAUGUUAUUUUAAAAAUCUAACUGAAAUUUCUUUGUAAUUAUGAAAAUAUCAAAUGUGUGUCUUCAUACAGCUUCAAUAUAUGGUAUUUUGAAUUUAAAAAAAGAAUUGGACUAUUUUAAGAAAGUAACUGAGAACAAGAAGUACAAUUUUGAGGUGUGGGUAUUUGAUUAUUUCCAUUUUUGUUACUCUAUACUAAUUCCCUUCUUCAUUUCAAUGAUUGAUAUUGUGCUUUUUUAUUUCCACAAGAUUUAUAUGACAACUGAAGUUAAUUUAUGGAUGAAGAGGCUACAUACAAACCAUAUGUACUUCAUAUAAUAUAAUGUUAUGCUAAAGAUUCAACUACCCAACAGUAGUAGUAGUUACAACAGCUCACAUUGACCAGCAAUAAAUGUUUCAAGUUAAUAAGAAUCCAAUAAAACAAUAUGAUUUGGUCCAUGUUGAUUGAAGGACUUUUACUUGUAAUUGGGUGUUUUACAUCAUAGUAUUUUCAUUUAUUUUAAGUAUUGAACAGAAUACUUGAUUGACCACUGGCCAUCCACUUGUAUGUACGUACAGUGGUGGAAGAAUUACUGAAACAUUUUACUUAGACUAUAAUACUAGAUUGUAAAAAGUCCUGCAUUCAACUUACUAAACUUACUUCAGUAAAAAAUACAAAAGUAUUCACCUCGAAUAUACUUAACGUACCAAAAGUAAACAAAAACUCUCAUCAUGCACAAUGGCCCAUUUCAGAAUAAUGUGUUAUUUGAUUGUAACUAUUAAUUUAUUCAAGUGUAAUUAUUGCAAUUGGUAAAGAUGGAGCAUUACUUUUACAUACUGCUAAGUAGCUUAACCUAUAAUAAUGUAUAUAUAAUAGGGUAUUGUUUUAUUUUGUAUUUGUAUCCACAUAUCUGUAAAGUAACAAAUAACUUAAGGUGUCAAAUAAAUGUUAUGUGAAAGUACAAUCUUACAAUAUUUCCCUCUGAGAUAAGAUAAGAUAAGAUAUGACUUUAUCCCACAGUGGGGAAA